rnacentral:tRNA from 1 species
GACAGUGGCACAACGGAUAACGCUCCUGACCACGGAUCAGGAGAUCCCCUGUUCGAAUCCAGGCUGAGUCG